GGGGUGUUAGCUCAGCUGAUAGAGCGCGGCAUUCGCAUUGCCGAGGUCGCGGGUUUGAUUCCCGCACACUCCACCA
rnacentral:tRNA from 1 species